CCUACGGGUGGCAGCAGUGAGGAAUAUUGGUCAAUGGACGAGAGUCUGAACCAGCCAAGUAGCGUGAAGGAUGACUGCCCUAUGGGUUGUAAACUUCUUUUAUAUGGGAAUAAAACGUUCCACGUGUGGGAUUUUGUAUGUACCAUAUGAAUAAGGAUCGGCUAACUCCGUGCCAGCAGCCGCGGUAAUACGGAGGAUCCGAGCGUUCUCCGGAUUUAUUGGGUUUAAAGGGAGCGUAGGUGGAUUGUUAAGUCAGUUGUGAAAGUUUGCGGCUCAACCGUAAAAUUGCAGUUGAAACUGGCAGUCUUGAGUACAGUAGAGGUGGGCGGAAUUCGUGGUGUAGCGGUGAAAUGCUUAGAUAUCACGAAGAACUCCGAUUGCGAAGGCAGUUCACUGGACUGCAACUGACACUGAGGCUCGAAAGUGUGGGUAUCAAACAGGAUGAGAUACCCGAGUAGUC
rnacentral:rRNA from 1 species